rnacentral:piRNA from 1 species
UAUGAUGACUGAUUACCUGAGAA